rnacentral:ncRNA from 1 species
CGAUGUUCUCAGGGCGGGGUGAAAGUCCCCACCGGCGGUAAGGGCCGAAAGGCCCAAGCCCGCGAGCGCCUUCCGUGAGGGUCAUCCCGAAGGGAAGGGUCAGCAGAUUCGGUGCAACUCCGAAGCCGACGGUCAAAGUCCGGAUGAAAGAGAACGGUC